rnacentral:rRNA from 1 species
GGAGAGUGCCUUUGGGGAACCCGGAGACAGGUGCUGCAUGGCUGUCGUCAGCUCGUGUCGUGAGAUGUUGGGUUAAGUCCCGCAACGAGCGCAACCCUGACCUUAGUUGCCAGCAUUCAGUUGGGCACUCUAAGGUGACUGCCGGCUAAAAGUCGGAGGAAGGUGGGGAUGACGUCAAAUCAUCAUGCCCCUUAUGACCUGGGCUACACACGUGCUACAAUGGGCGGUACAAAGGGUCGCGAACCCGCGAGGGGGAGCCAAUCCCAAAAAGCCGCUCCUCAGUUCGGAUUGCAGGCUGCAACCUCGCCUGCAUGAAGCCGGAAUCGCUAGUAAUCGCGGAUCCAGCAUGCCGCGGUGAAUACGUUCCCGGGCCUU